rnacentral:rRNA from 1 species
CUCGUAGGCGGCCGAACUAAGUCAGACGUGAAAUCCCUCGGCUUAACCGGGAACUGCGUCUGAUACUGGAUGGCUUGAGGUUGGGAGAGGGAUGCGGAAUUCCAGGUGUAGCGGUGAAAUGCGUAGAUAUCUGGAGGAACACCGGUGGCGAAGGCGGCAUCCUGGACCGAUUCUGACGCUGAGGAGCGAAAGCCAGGGGAGCAAACG